rnacentral:rRNA from 1 species
GACAGAGGGUGCAAACGUUGUUCGGAAUUACUGGGCGUAAAGGGCGCGUAGGCGGCCUUCUAAGUCAGACGUGAAAUCCCCCGGCUUAACCUGGGAACUGCGUGUGAUACUGGAUGGCUUGAAUUCGGGAGAGGGAUGCAGAAUUCCGAGGUGUAGCGGUGAAAUGCGUAGAUAUCUGGAGGAAUACCGGGUGGCGAAGGCGGCAUCCUGGACCGACAUUGACGCUGAGGAGCGAAAGCUAGGGGAGCAAACA